rnacentral:rRNA from 1 species
UGGUCGGGCUACGGGACCCUUUAAGCCCAAUAAUAGCGGCCACCACUUGAGCCGCCGGUGUUACCGCGGCGGGCUGGCACCGGUCUUGCCCGGCCCUUAUUCCAGAUGCUUUUUAGGCAUCUGAAAAGCGUACGCAUUGCGCACGCACUCGAGGUCCCCUUAUCGCGCUUUCGCGCAGUGUAAAGUUUUCGCGCCUGCUGCGCCCCGUAGGACCUGGAUUCGUGUCUCAGAAUCCAUCUCCGGGCUCUUGCUCUCACAACCCGUACCGAUUAUAGGCUUGUUGGGACGUUACCCCAGCAACUACCUAAUCGGCCGCAGACCCAUCCUCAGACGCUAAAGCUUUCAACCGUGAGGCAUUCCAGCGUUCACGGAUUAUCCGGUAUUAUCUCCAGUUUCCCGGAGUUAUCCCAGAUCUGAGGGUAGGUUAUCCACGUGUUACUGAGCCGUUCGCCGAGGGCUUAACCCCUCUCGACUCGCAUGGCUUAAUCGGACCCCGAUAGCAGUGGCCACUGGCAGGAUCAACCAGGUU